rnacentral:lncRNA from 1 species
UUUUUGAAGGUCCCAAGCAGUUAGUUGCACUUGGAUUGAUAUUAAACUCCUGCCUUUCUCUGGUGCAUGAUCGAUUUUAUCCUCGCUUCAUCUUUUCCAUAUAUGGAUGUUAACGAUGUCUCCGUCUAGUAGGCACCAGUAAGGGAAAUUGCAUGCAUCAAAGGGAAAGGAAAAAUGAAAAAGACUGUACAUGUACAAGUGAGAAAGAGUCUUUAGCUGGUCAGGACUGCUACUGUCAUUAUAUAUAACUUUAAUGUAAUACAUUUGUUUUUCCUGUACGUAAGAUUUGGGAAGGGAUUAUAAGUGUUGAGAUUUGAAACCCCGACUUGUUGGAUGUCAUCGUACAAGAAUCAACAGGACUAAGCUCUGUUUUUUAAUAUUAUGCUGAGUUAUUG